CAAGGAGUCUGACAUGUGUGCG
rnacentral:snRNA from 1 species